rfam:Schistosoma curassoni strain Dakar, Senegal genome assembly, scaffold: SCTD_scaffold0000416
AUUCAGCUGACCAGUCUCAAAUAGGACGAAACGUGCUUCUUGUAU